UAAGUAAUGUGAAUUGCAGAAUUCAGUGAAUCAUCGAAUCUUUGAACGCACCUUGCCGCUCCCUGGUAUUCCGGGGAGCAUGCCUGUUUGAGUGUCGUGAAAUCAUCAUGGUCAUGAUCUUUAAUUAAUCAUGGCUUGGUUUUGGAGGUUAUGUUGGCUUUUUAUUAAGUUGACUCCUCUUAAAUACAUUAGCUCAGUGUUUAAUGCUUAGAGCGGUUCACGGUGUGAUAAUUGUCUACGCCGUGGGUACACCGCGAUUGUGGGGGACCUGCUUCCAACCGUCGAAAGACAACUUCAUCGAAACUUGACCUCAAAUCAGGCGGGACUACCCGCUGAACUUAA
rnacentral:rRNA from 1 species